GGUAGGGUUUGUCCCGAAUCGGUGGAAAUCCAUCAACUAUCCCCCUUCCGCCGCUGCCGCCGCUUCCAACAUUGGGCGCAACUGCCCCUUCCGCCGCCGCCCUUCCCCGGUGCGGCGACGCCGCCCUGCUCCACCAGGAGCCCAGGACCGGCGGGCUGGGGCCUCCCCGUACGAACGCGCCAGCGCUACUGCGUGCUGGUCCAGCAACCCCAGCCGUCCAGGGGACGCCAUCGCCGCCGCCUGGUCUCCAGCCGUCCCUCUGGUUUCCUCCCUCCUCUCCACACUCCAGACAGGACGACCGGCGGUCGCCUCCCUCUAGUCCUGACCAGGACGCUGUGUAUCGAUGGAUUUAUAAUCUAUAAAGGAGCUAUUGCUUUCUCCUAGACCAAGUGAGGAAUACUUGGCUGGUGUAGCCGGUUUUCUUGACUUUGCAUACAUCGGGAAAAGUUCUGAUGCCAAGAUCCUUGGCCCAUGCGUCAUAUGUGUCAAUGGAUCGUUACAGAAGCGGGAGGACGUGUAUGAUCACUUGGAUAUAUUGUUUGGGGUUGCCAUGGGGAAACAACAUCAUUCAUCUCUGCUAACAAACAAGGUGAAACUCCAACACACAUGAGAAGUAACAAAAGGUCACGAUCACAGUUUGAAGGAACAAAAUCUAAUAUGCGUCAGUUAGUGGAAGAUGUUUUCUGUGGACCUCCAAUGAUAGAACCUGAAACCCAAAAUCCAUCUAAACCAGGACCAGACCCUGAAUCCCAAUCUUUCUAUGACCUUUUGAGAGAUGCAGAUCAACCUUUAUGGCCAGGCUGUGAACUAUCCAUACUUUCUCUUGUUGUUAUUCUCUUCCACAUAAAAGCCACUAACAAGUGGAGCAAUAAAUCUUUAAAUGAUUUGCUAGCAGUUCUGCAGAAAGCAAUUCUAAUGGUAAGAACUUACCUAGUACAUUUUCUGACGCGAAGAAGAUCGUUGGAAAGCUUGGGCUUAGUUAUGUGAGAAUCAUUCUUGUGAAAAUAACUGCCAGCUUUAUCGAAAAGAGAAAGCAGUGAUGAUUUUUGUUCAGUGUGUGGAACUUCAAGGUGGAAGAACAUACCAGAUAAAACUACUUUGACUAUAAGAAGGAAAGAAGGAAGGCAAUCCCAAGGAAGGUGUUACGGUACUUUCCAAUUAAGCCAAGGCUUAAGAGGCUUUUCAUGCAUAAAGAUACAGCUACAGCUUUAAGAUGGCAUGACCAAGAACGCACAAAGGAUGGAGCAUUGCAUCAUUUAGCUGAUUCAGAGGCUUGGAAGGCCAUUGAUUCCAAGUAUAAACACAUCGCAUCAAACUCCCGGAACAUGAGGUUUGGAAUAGGAGCCGAUCAAGUGUUUUACCUAGAAGACGAACUGAACCCAGGUUGGUCAGUGGUGAUGCAGAAUAAACUACCUAGAGAUAGAUGUGACACUGGAACUGAUGAAUGCACACGAGACGUAGAAGCUGAGCCAUUCCAUGUUUCUCACCUCACGGAUAUGUUUAAAAAGAAAAGGAAAUAUCAACAUUGGGUAAGAUCCGAUAUUGAGGGAACAAUUGUCGGUGCUAAUGAUAAUGCUUUGAUCGAUGAAGAACAGUGAUUGUACAUCAUAUAAAGAUUGUUGGCUGAGCUUACACCCUUCAGAAAAUUCGAAGGAAUGAGGUCUUCCACUCAACAUAUAAACCCAUUUUUUUUUCUUUAUUGCUUUUCAGUUUCUCGUCCUAUUUUCUGUUGAUGCUGCCAUUGUGGAUUGUGAUAACUGUUAGUACUUCACCCUUACUGUCCUGAAGUAAUCUCAAAGAGCGAGAGUAGCGUGGCAUCUUAAAAUAUUUUUGCCCCGCAAUGGUGAGUGCUUCCUACAGGUGCUUAAACUACUUUAAUUAACGCAGAGCAAGGCUUACUACGGUUUUACUGAAGGUCAAGCACCGGCUAGCACCAGAAGCAAGACUUUGCUUUCGUCCCUCCUCUUAUGCACCUGUGCUCAGCGAUCUUGAAAAACAACCCGUUUUUUUGGUUGAAGCGUCCGCCUAAGCACCUGCAUUGUACAAGGCCUAAGUAUCCCUAUAUGCAUUGAUUUUAACUUGAUUCUUUUUGAUUUGUUAUGAACUUUUUCUCGUGCGCUUCAGUAAAUCUUCUUUUUCAGGAAAUUUUGCAAGUGAAGAUUAGAAGGAUUGUUCUAAACUGAUGGAUGAAGCAAUGUGUUCUUUUAGCGGGCUUUUAUAUGUUUGCAUAGUUUUUGCAAUUGGAAAUAGAUACACUUUUGUCGAAGAAGUAUUAUGUUAGAUUUACCAUCUUGUAAACUUAGUUUAUGUCUGUUUGAAAUUGGCGUUUUGAUUUAUGUGGGAUGCUGGUUUGCUGUCAAAACCUGAUUCAAUAUUUCCUUUGUUGUUGUG